rnacentral:rRNA from 1 species
CGUAGGCGGACUUUUAAGUCGGAGGUGAAAGCCCAGGGCUCAACCCUGGAAUUGCCUUCGAUACUGGGAGUCUUGAGUUCGGAAGAGGUUGGUGGAACUGCGAGUGUAGAGGUGAAAUUCGUAGAUAUUCGCAAGAACACCGGUGGCGAAGGCGGCCAACUGGUCCGAAACUGACGCUGAGGCGCGAAAGCGUGGGGAGCAAACA